GAUGAAGAACGCAGCGAAAUGCGAUACUUGGUGUGAAUUGCAGAAUCCCGUGAACCAUCGAGUCUUUGAACGCAAGUUGCGCCUCAAGCCAUUAGGUUGAGGGCACGUCUGCCUGGGCGUCACAUAUCGUUGCCUGAUGCCAGUUUCCUCGUGAUGGGUGACUGUGCAGGGCGAAUGAUGGCUUCCCGUGAGCAUUGUUGCCUCAUGGUUGGUUGAAAAUUGAGUCCUUGGUAGGGAGCGCCGUGAUAGAUGGUGGUUGAGUGACGAACGAGACCCAAUCAUGUGAGACCCCUACCGAAUUUGGCCUUCAUGACCCACAUGCGUCUUUGGACCGCUCAUGACGAGACCUCAGGUCAGGCGGGGCUACCCGCUGAGUUUAAGCAUAUCAAUAAGCGGAGGA
rnacentral:misc_RNA from 1 species